rnacentral:lncRNA from 1 species
GGCACUAGUGGAGCUGUCAGUGCACAAAUGAUUGAUUUUUAUGUAGACAUACCUGUGGGAGACUGGUUAGCUGAGAAGGGUCAGCUAGUCCAGCAAGAGCUUAAUAAGCACCGUAUUCAGCUUAUCUAGCUCCCAAUAACUGCAAGGCCUUGAAGUUGUUCUUCUGGCCUUGAAGGCAGCUGUGGUCCAACAACAGAAUGUCUGUGAUAAGGUAAACAUGUAACUGUAAGAAAGGAAUUUCGGGCGGAACUGUCUUUUUAGAACUAACCAAUAAUGAGCUCUCAUUUUGCAAUAUGUAUGAGCUAAUUAUGAGUGUGCAUAAAAGAAUGGUAGUGUGUCUAAAUAAACGGAAGCUUGCUGGUCACUCAUAUUGAGUGCUCAUGUCUUCCCUCCGUCGCAACAAAUGGCGCCCAACGUGGGGCCAGGACCCUAUACAGGGUGGAACCUGUGAACAGGGACCCUGUACAGGGCUGAACCUGCGAGCCACGGUUUGGCGGAGCCCGGGUACCGGUCCUGUAAGCAGCGCAGGAGGCGAAAGGGACGAAUCCCCGCGCCCAGGAGCACCUAUAGAGGGUCCUGUGAAGGCGAAAGGGAAAUCCCCGCGCUCGGGAGCACCUAUAGAGGGUCCCGCCGGCCACGCGUCGCCGAAGUCUUGCAAAGGCUGCAACAGCGCUGACGAAGGUACCAUUUGGGUUCCCAGCCGAUGGGUGAGGCCUGCUGUCAAACACACUGACAGCCACAGCCACGCCUAAGGACGACGAGGGACUCCACAGAAGGACACUACUUCGUCUGUAUCUGACUAUAGAUCCGGUGGUGCAACCAUGUGUGCAUCUCUUUCACUCAUUUCUAAGAUGGACAUUCUUUAGCUAAUUCGCCUUGUUAGUAACAGCUGUGGUUAAAGUUAUGGUGUGCUGUGUUCUUUGGUCUAGAUGCUCUGAGAAGCUGGAUGGGAUUAAGUGGAUGGCUUAAAGGUGUGUUACAAACAGGAUUGUUGAUCUUAAUCAUAAUAGUGAUAGUAUUACUUUGCUUGAGCUGUGUGUUUUCUUGUAUCAAAACUCUUUUAAUGAGAAUUAUUAAUCAAACUUAUAUCGCCCAAAAUAAAAACGGGGGAAUUGUGGGAGACUGGCUAGCU